UGUAAGAAGGAAGAAAUAGUAUUGGAAAGGAAGACGUGUAUUAAUGGAUUUUAUGGUGGAGAUGAAUCAAAAGGAAAAAUACAGGCUAGAGUAUUACUAGUAGAGAGGAACAAGAAGCUGGUAGUAGUGUAGAAAAUUGGGCCAUCUACGUAUAGAAAACAAGAGAGAGUUGUCCAAGAAAACAUUGGGAAUAAAAAGCCAAGAACAAGGGCAAAAAGGCAGCUUGAAAUUAUACAUUCUGAUAUAUGUAGACCUAGAGAGCCAGAGACAUGUAACAGAAAUAGCAGCAGAAGCAAAGUGGAAUAACAUACAGAUUUAAAUGCAAUAACGGAAAAAGGAGUUUACCAGCGGAAAAUUCAAGAAUUGGUGCA